rnacentral:rRNA from 1 species
AUGCUGAGUGCUCUGCACUUUAAAGUUCAUGUGUCCACAUGCAUUGGUGUUCCGACCAUCAUGUUCUAUUUAAAAAAAAGAACUUCAACUCUGUUUGCUAUGUUUUCAUCAUCAUAUUCUGUGUGUUCAGAUAUGGCGAACAAAAGGAUUCAGAAGGAGCUCAUGGAUUUGCAAAAGGAUCCACCAACAUCAUGCAGCGCUGGGCCUGCUGGGGCGGAUCUAUUCCACUGGCAGGCCACAAUUAUGGGCCCUGGUGACAGCCCCUACUCAGGAGGGGUGUUCUUUGUCAACAUCCAUUUCCCUCCUGAUUACCCCUUUAAGCCUCCAAAAGUGAAUUUCCAAACAAAGGUGUAUCACCCGAACAUCAACUCCAACGGCAGCAUCUGCCUGGACAUCCUCAAGGAGCAGUGGAGCCCGGCGCUGACCAUAUCCAAGGUCCUACUCUCCAUCAGCUCCCUGCUCACCGACCCCAACCCCGACGACCCCCUUGUCCCGGAGAUCGCGCAGCUCUACAAGAACCAGAGAGCCCGCUAUGAGGACACCGCGAGGGCCUGGACCCAGAAGUACGCCAUGGGCUGA